ensembl:lncRNA
CGGGGUACACGCUGGACAGGGUGCCAAUCCAUCGCAGGGCACAAUCACAAAAACAUUCACACACCCAUUCAUACACUACGGACACUUUGGACAUGCCAUACCGUGCAUGUCUUUGGACUGGGGGAGGAAACCGGAGAACCCGGAGGAAACCCCCGCAGCACGGGGAGAACAUGCAAACUCCGCACUCCCCAUUUCCAUAUUUGAUGUGAACCUCGUGACCUGUAUCUGCAUGAUUUUAUGCGCUGUGCUGCUGGAACCUGAUUGGCUGAUUGGAUAAUUGCAUGAAUGAGCACGUGUACAGGUAUUCCUAUUAAAGUGGCCAGUGAAUGUAUGUAGACAAUAUGACGAUAUGCCGUGGACAUCUUAGCCUCAUCACUACAGAGACAAUUUGGGGUCAUAGGGAGACGUGUACUGAAUUAUUUUAUUUCACAAGUUGUGCUAACUUUUUUUUGAGUGUUUAGUGUUGACUUCAUCACGCAUUCAGCAUGCACAGCAUACACACCCCGGUAAUGUGUGUGGGUUCGUGUGAAACGCACCUUACACUGUGUGUUUUUGUGUUUGUGUGGCCAUGUGUGAGCUGUUGAGUUGAUGGACUGGACUGGCUGUGAGGAGAGGAAUGUCUCACAUGUGACACAUCAAUACACUCUUUGUUUAGACAUUCACACUGUGACUGCGAGUCAUUUCACAAGCAUUCAGGAAGACAUGAGUUCAUAAUUCGCUUUCUGCCCCACACACACACACACACACACACACACACACACACACACAAACAAAACUGUAUCAUUGUUCUUGUGGUGAUCAAACAUUUUAUAGUAGGAGUAUAAAAACUGAUUCAGCCCACUUAAAAAGGCAUGGUCUAUAUAUCUGUCAACUGUGAAAGAGGUGUGGCCUAAAUGUCUGUCAGUCCCACAAAGGGGGCAUGGCCUUACAGCUGUCCUGUACAGUGAAGGAGGUGUGGCCUAUAUGUCUGUACCUGUCAGUCCUAGCGAAGGAGGUGUGUCCUCUGUACCUGUCAGUCAAAGUGAGAGAGGCAUGUCCUCUGUACCUGUCAGUCCUAGUUAAGGAGGCGUGUCAUCUGUACCUUUCAGGUAUAGUGAAGGAGGUGUGUCCUCUGUACCUGUCAGUCUUAGUGAAGGAGGCGCGUGUCUCUGUACCUGUCAGUCUUAGUGAAGGAGGUGUGUCCUCUGUAUCUGUCCGUCCUAGUGAAGGAGGCGUGUCCUCUGUAUGUGUCCGUCCUAGUGAAGGAGGUGUGUCCUCUGUAUCUGUCUGUCCUAUUGAAGGAGGUGUGUCCUCUGUACCUGUCAGUCUUAGUGAAGGUGUGUCCUCUGUAUCUGUCCGUCCUAGUGAAGGAGGCGUGUCCUCUGUAUGUGUCCGUCCUAGUGAAGGAGGCGUGUCCUCUGUACCUGUCAGUCCUAGUGAAGGAGGUGUGUCCUCUGUA